rnacentral:rRNA from 1 species
UACGGGGGGGGGCAAGCGUUGUUCGGAAUUACUGGGCGUAAAGGGCGCGUAGGCGGCCUUCUAAGUCGGACGUGAAAUCCCUCGGCUUAACCGAGGAACUGCGUCCGAUACUGAAAGGCUUGAAUCCGGGAGAGGGAUGUGGAAUUCCAGGUGUAGCGGUGAAAUGCGUAGAUAUCAGGAGGAACACCGGUGGCGAAGGCGGGUCUCUGGGCAGUAACUGACGCUGAGGAGCGAAAGCGUGGGGAGCGAACAGG